rnacentral:rRNA from 1 species
UACGAAGGAUGCAAGCGUUAUCCGGAUUUAUUGGGUUUAAAGGGUGCGUAGGCGGACUUAUAAGUCAGUGGUGAAAUCUCGAUGCUUAACAUCGAACGUGCCAUUGAUACUGUAGGUCUUGAGUACAGAUGCCGUUGGCGGAAUGUGUCAUGUAGCGGUGAAAUGCAUAGAUAUGACACAGAACACCGAUUGCGAAGGCAGCUAACGAAACUGUAACUGACGCUGAGGCACGAAAGCGUGGGGAUCAAACAGG